rnacentral:rRNA from 1 species
GAUGAACGCUAGCGAUAGGCUUAACACAUGCAAGUCGAGGGGCAGCACAAGGUAGCUUGCUAUCUGGGUGGCGACCGGCGCACGGGUGCGUAACGCGUAUGCAACUUGCCCUAUACAGGAGGAUAACCCGUCGAAAGACGGACUAAUACUGCGUAUGCUCACAACUUGGCAUCAAGUGGUGAGGAAAGAAAUUCGGUAUAGGAUAGGCAUGCGUCCCAUUAGCUUGUUGGUGAGGUAACGGCUCACCAAGGCAACGAUGGGUAGGGGAACUGAGAGGUUUAUCCCCCACACUGGUACUGAGACACGGACCAGACUCCUACGGGAGGCAGCAGUGAGGAAUAUUGGUAAAUGGGCGCGAGCCUGAACCAGCCAAGUCGCGUGAAGGAUGACUGUCUUAUGGAUUGUAAACUUCUUUUAUACGGGAAUAACAAGAGUCACGUGUGACUCCCUGCAUGUACCGUAUGAAUAAGCAUCGGCUAACUCCGUG